CUCUGGGAGCAAGGACACCCCGGUAACAAUGGGAACUCACUAUGUUGCCCAGGCUGGUCUCAAACUCCUGGGCUCAAGUGAUCUGCCCACCUCUGCCUCCACCUCCCAAAGUGCUGGGAUUACAGGCCUGUGCCACUGUGCCUGGCCUGAGAUUUUUUAAAUGAUGUUUUCUUUAAUUCCCCUCCUGCUAAUACUCUUCUGAUUUUCCCAGUAGCAUCAGCACUUUUUUCAGAAUCAAUGCUGUGUCCUUUACUUUCCCUAUUCUCUCCAGCUCACCAUGACAUUUCUUUACUUUGCUGCAUAAGAAAACAAGUUGGAGAAACUAAGAAGUUUCAGAGUAUGCUUACUUCAGCCUUUCUCUGCCUAUAAAGUCAACCUCCUCUGCUCAGCUUUUCAGACCACUUCUCCCACUUCUAGAAUCACAAAUAAAACUAAAUCUAUGCUUA